UAGCUUAGUUGGUUAAAGCACCGGUCUAGCGAAAACGGGGUCGUGGGUUCGAAUCCCAC
rnacentral:tRNA from 1 species